CCUACGGGUGGCAGCAGUGAGGAAUAUUGGUCAAUGGCCGAGAGGCUGAACCAGCCAAGUCGCGUGAGGGAUGACGGCCCUACGGGUUGUAAACUUCUUUUGUCAAGGAACAAAGUGAGGCACGCGUGCCUCCUCGAGAGUACUCGAAGAAAAAGCAUCGGCUAACUCCGUGCCAGCAGCCGCGGUAAUACGGAGGAUGCGAGCGUUAUCCGGAUUUAUUGGGUUUAAAGGGUGCGUAGACGGGAGGUUAAGUCAGCGGUAAAAUCGCGGGGCUAAACCUCGAUACGCCGUUGAUACUGGCAGUCUUGAGUGGACGAGAGGUAUGCGGAAUGCGUGGUGUAGCGGUGAAAUGCUUAGAUAUCACGCAGAACUCCGAUUGCGAAGGCAGCAUACCGGCGUCCAACUGACGCUGAUGCACGAAAGCGUGGGUAUCGAACAGGAUUAGAUACCCGAGUAGUC
rnacentral:rRNA from 1 species